rnacentral:ncRNA from 1 species
ACCUCUGGUAUGCCAGUUGUCACGCCAGUGGCAUGGCUGGUUAGCUACGUGCGGGAGGGAUAACCGCUGAAAGCAUCUAAGCGGGAAGCCUGUUUUGAGAUGAGGUUUCUGUUGAGGUUCCCUGUAGAUGAUGGGGUUGAUAGGCCAGGGCUGUGAGCAUGGUGACGUGUUGGAGGUGACUGGUACUAAUACACCGACACAAAAAAACAC